GGCCCCGCCUUCCCGUUCUCGCCGCCGAGCUGCUCCGGUAGCGCCGCUCCCCUCCUCCGCCCCGCGUCCUGACUCUCUUCCCUCCUUUCCUUCAGAGGAUGUCCGCCUUCCAGAUCAACCUUAACCCGCUCAAGGAGCCGCUCGGCUUCAUCAAGAUCCUGGAGUGGUUUGCUUCCAUCUUUACUUUUGCCACCUGUGGCGGGUUUAAGGGCAAAACAGAGAUUCUAGUGAGUUGUCCUUCUAAAGGUGUUGUGAAUAAGACGAUUACAGCAGCUUUUGGCUACCCAUUCAGGUUGAACCAGGCAUCCUUCCACUCGCACUCCAGUGGCAACGUGUGUAACGUGACGUGGGAAAACUACGUCCUCAUAGGUGACUACUCCUCCUCUGCGCAGUUCUACGUCACCUUUGCCGUCUUCGUGUUCCUCUACUGCAUGGCUGCCCUGGUGCUCUAUGUGGGCUACACCAGCCUCUACCGGGAGAGCCGCAAGCUGCCCAUGAUUAAUGUAAAUGGACUUUAUUGUUACUCUUGUUGCCACUUUUUUGUGGUUGGUGAGUUCCUCAGCCUGGGCUAAAGCUCUUACAGAUAUUAAAUUAACUACCGGACAGAAUAUUAUUAAGGAACUUACUCAUUGUCAGCAGCCAUCAGAAGUCUUGUGUCACUUUGACUCUGUGACUAGUAUGGGAUCCCUGAAUGUGUCUGUGAUCUUUGGCUUUCUGAAUAUGAUACUUUGGGGAGGAAAUGCUUGGUUUGUGUACAAGGAGACCAGCUUACAUAGUCCAUCAAAUACAUCAGCUUCCCACAGCCAAGGAGGCAUCCCACCCCCUUCUGGAAUAUAACUAAAUAUGCCGUAUGAAAUGUGUGCUGUACUAUGCUUUGUUGCCAACAUCUUGAGAAGCAUUAUUGUUUCUAAUAAAAAGUAAUGGUUUUUUCAGUAAAUUGGUGGGUUUAAGAUUUUGCUGCUUUUCUAUAUAAAACGUGCCUUUUCUAGAAAUGUAAGAUGUAAAUGUAUUUGUACAAGUAAGUUUGAACAUUCAGGAACCUGUUAUGAGAUGAUACUUAUUUUUAAGUGAACAGUAAUUUCACUAAGUUACCUUCUAAAGUGUUUACACCUUAAGCCUUAACAUAAACCUUCAUUCAGAAAAGUUAUGUCAUAUCAUAACACAGGAAGAAUGAGUUUGGAAUAUACACUACUCUUAGCUUGUGCACAUCAUAUCCCUAAGGCUUGGCUUGUUUAAGAAAACCUUGAUUGCAUAAUUUGUAUUUAGAAAAAAAAAUUAGUACAAUUUUAUAUCUGAAUAUUGUUCGUGUUAAAAAAAUUUGAAUUGUAAAGACUGAGUAUAUAUUUUAAAUGUUUUUUCUAAAUGACCUGCUAUACUUAUUACGUGUACUAAGAUUGUCUUAGGAGCAAGGACUUGGAAAUUCUAACAAACAUGUGGUGUUAACUUGGCGCUUCUGUUGCAAUUAUUUCUGGUGGUUUCUUAGGCUUGCUAUGUUAGAUCAUCGUUGCCAACGGUGGCUUUAUAUAUUUAGGCAUUCUCAGUGAUCCUUGUUUGAUGUCCUUGUUCAAGCCAAGGGAUAAAAAUCUACCUUCUACAAGACCCUGGUUAUAGGGUCACUAAAAAUUAAGGUUGCCUUUUACUUUUGAAACAUUCAACAUUGAGUCAAUGAAGUUGCUUCUCCUGAGUUUAACAUUGAUAUGGUGAAAAUAAAUGCUGUUCGAAUUUCAUACUUAAUAUUCAUUCUUAUUCCACAAAAAGAUGAUUAAGGAAGUAUGCUCAUAAAGGAACCUAAGUAAGCUGGAUGUGUGUGUGCUGACCUUCCACACACACUGGGGUAUGUUCAGAAUACACUGCUUUUGUUCCUCAGCUUUUUGUUGUACAGGGAUCCAGACUUCUGUUCUUACAGGGAGGCGUGCGUGUGAAGCACAUCAUGAGAAAAUGCCCUAUUUCUGUUGCUUUAUUCAUGGCAAAGCGGCUCUGUAAGAAUGUGUGUUUAAUACCGCAAACAAUAAAGAAGUUAAAGUAAAG